rnacentral:rRNA from 1 species
GGGAAAGGUGAAAAGCCCCCCGACAAGGGGAGUGAAAGAGUACCUGAAACCGAUUGCCUACAAACAGUGGAAGCCCGCAAGGGUGACCACGUACCUUUUGUAUAAUGGGUCAGUGACUUAAUGUAUCGAGCAAGCUUAAGCCGUUAGGUGGAGGCGAAGCGAAAGCGAGUGUGAAUAGCGCGACUGAGUUCGAUGCAUUAGACCCGAACCCCGGCGAUCUAGGCAUGGCCAGGUUGAAG